rnacentral:rRNA from 1 species
CCCUACGGGACGCAGCAGUAGGGAAUCUUCCACAAUGGACGAAAGUCUGAUGGAGCAACGCCGCGUGAGUGAAGAAGGGUUUCGGCUCGUAAAGCUCUGUUGGUAGUGAAGAAAGAUAGAGGUAGUAACUGGCCUUUAUUUGACGGUAAUUACUUAGAAAGUCACGGCUAACUACGUGCCAGCAGCCGCGGUAAUACGUAGGUGGCAAGCGUUGUCCGGAUUUAUUGGGCGUAAAGCGAGUGCAGGCGGUUCAAUUAAGCUGAUUUGAAAACCUUUGGGCCAACCGGGGAAUUGCAUCAGAAACU